GUGCCAGCCCCUGCUGCAGGAAGGAAGGCAAAGCCAGACACGGGCACAGGCACAGCAGACUGGGAUGCUGGGAAGGAUUCUCCAUUAGCCUGGCGCUCUGAAGUUGUGAAGCCCUCCGAGCAUUCUGCAGGCGUGUCUGCAGGGACGACCUCACCAACUCCUACCUUGGAUGCUGCACAGAAGGCCAGCUCCCAUGGCAGGGGU